UACGUAGGGUGCGAGCGUUGUCCGGAAUUAUUGGGCGUAAAGAGCUCGUAGGCGGUCUGUCGCGUCGGUCGUGAAAACCUGCAGCUUAACUGUGGGCGUGCGGUCGAUACGGGCAUGACUGGAGUCGGCAGGGAGACUGGAAUCCUGGUGUAGCGGUGAAAUGCGCAGAUAUCAGGAGGAACACCGGUGGCGAAGGCGGGUCUCUGGGCCGAUACUGACGCUGGAGGAGCGAAAGCGUGGGGAGCGAACAGGA
rnacentral:rRNA from 1 species